rnacentral:rRNA from 1 species
AUUGAACGCUGGCGGCAUGCUUUACACAUGCAAGUCGAACGGCAGCGCGGGCUUCGGCCUGGCGGCGAGUGGCGAACGGGUGAGUAAUGCAUCGGAACGUGCCCAGUAGUGGGGGAUAGCCCGGCGAAAGCCGGAUUAAUACCGCAUACGACCUGAGGGUGAAAGCGGGGGACCGAAAGGCCUCGCGCUAUUGGAGCGGCCGAUGUCGGAUUAGCUAGUUGGUGGGGUAAAGGCUUACCAAGGCGACGAUCCGUAGCUGGUCUGAGAGGACGACCAGCCACACUGGGACUGAGACACGGCCCAGACUCCUACGGGAGGAAGCAGUGGGGAAUUUUGGACAAUGGGGGCAACCCUGAUCCAGCCAUGCCGCGUGCGGGAAGAAGGCCUUCGGGUGGUAAACCGCUUUUGUUCGGGAAGAAAUCCUCUGGGCUAAUACCCCGGGGGGAUGACGGUACCGGAAGAAUAAGCACCGGCUAACUACGU